CAUGCACCGAAGCUGCGGCAGCGACGCUUAUGCGUUGUUGGGUAGGGGAGCGUUCUGUAAGCCUGUGAAGGUGUGCUGUGAGGUAUGCUGGAGGUAUCAGAAGUGCGAAUGCUGACAUAAGUAACGAUAAAGCGGGUGAAAAGCCCGCUCGCCGGAAGACCAAGGGUUCCUGUCCAACGUUAAUCGGGGCAGGGUGAGUCGACCCCUAAGGCGAGGCCGAAAGGCGUAGUCGAUGGGAAACAGGUUAAUAUUCCUGUACUUGGUGUUACUGCGAAGGGGGGACGGAGAAGGCUAUGUUGGCCGGGCGACGGUUGUCCCGGUUUAAGCGUGUAGGCUGGUUUUCCAGGCAAAUCCGGAAAAUCAAGGCCGAGGCGUGAUGACGAGGCACUACGGUGCUGAAGCAACAAAUGCCCUGCUUCCAGGAAAAGCCUCUAAGCAUCAGGUAACAUCAAAUCGUACCCCAAACCGACACAGGUGGUCAGGUAGAGAAUACCAAGGCGCUUGAGAGAACUCGGGUGAAGGAACUAGGCAAAAUGGUGCCGUAACUUCGGGAGAAGGCACGCUGAUACGUAGGUGAAGCGACUUGCUCGUGGAGCUGAAAUCAGUCGAAGAUACCAGCUGGCUGCAACUGUUUAUUAAAAACACAGCACUGUGCAAACACGAAAGUGGACGUAUACGGUGUGACGCCUGCCCGGUGCCGGAAGGUUAAUUGAUGGGGUUAGCGCAAGCGAAGCUCUUGAUCGAAGCCCCGGUAAACGGCGGCCGUAACUAUAACGGUCCUAAGGUAGCGAAAUUCCUUGUCGGGUAAGUUCCGACCUGCACGAAUGGCGUAAUGAUGGCCAGGCUGUCUCCACCCGAGACUCAGUGAAAUUGAACUCGCUGUGAAGAUGCAGUGUACCCGCGGCAAGACGGAAAGACCCCGUGAACCUUUACUAUAGCUUGACACUGAACAUUGAGCCUUGAUGUGUAGGAUAGGUGGGAGGCUUUGAAGUGUGGACGCCAGUCUGCAUGGAGCCGACCUUGAAAUACCACCCUUUAAUGUUUGAUGUUCUAACGUGGACCCGUGAUCCGGGUUGCGGACAGUGUCUGGUGGGUAGUUUGACUGGGGCGGUCUCCUCCUAAAGAGUAACGGAGGAGCACGAAGGUUGGCUAAUCCUGGUCGGACAUCAGGAGGUUAGUGCAAUGGCAUAAGCCAGCUUGACUGCGAGCGUGACGGCGCGAGCAGGUGCGAAAGCAGGUCAUAGUGAUCCGGUGGUUCUGAAUGGAAGGGCCAUCGCUCAACGGAUAAAAGGUACUCCGGGGAUAACAGGCUGAUACCGCCCAAGAGUUCAUAUCGACGGCGGUGUUUGGCACCUCGAUGUCGGCUCAUCACAUCCUGGGGCUGAAGUAGGUCCCAAGGGUAUGGCUGUUCGCCAUUUAAAGUGGUACGCGAGCUGGGUUUAGAACGUCGUGAGACAGUUCGGUCCCUAUCUGCCGUGGGCGCUGGAGAACUGAGGGGGGCUGCUCCUAGUACGAGAGGACCGGAGUGGACGCAUCACUGGUGUUCGGGUUGUCAUGCCAAUGGCACUGCCCGGUAGCUAAAUGCGGAAGAGAUAAGUGCUGAAAGCAUCUAAGCACGAAACUUGCCCCGAGAUGAGUUCUCCCUGACCCUUUAAGGGUCCUGAAGGAACGUUGAAGACGACGACGUUGAUAGGCCGGGUGUGUAAGCGCAGCGAUGCGUUGAGCUAACCGGUACUAAUGAACCGUGAGGCUUAACCUUACAACGCCGAAG
rnacentral:rRNA from 1 species